AUUGAACGCUGGCGGCAGGCUUAACACAUGCAAGUCGAGCGGAGUGAUGGUGCUUGCACUAUCACUUAGCGGCGGACGGGUGAGUAAUGCUUAGGAAUCUGCCUAUUAGUGGGGGACAACAUCUCGAAAGGGAUGCUAAUACCGCAUACGUCCUACGGGAGAAAGCAGGGGAUCACUUGUGACCUUGCGCUAAUAGAUGAGCCUAAGUCGGAUUGGCUAGUUGGUGGGGUAAAGGCCUACCAAGGCGACGAUCUGUAGCGGGUCUGAGAGGAUGAUCCGCCACACUGGGACUGAGAAACGGCCCAGACUCCUACGGGAGGCAGCAGUGGGGAAUAUUGGACAAUGGGGGGAACCCUGAUCCAGCCAUGCCGCGUGUGUGAAGAAGGCCUUAUGGUUGUAAAGCACUUUAAGCGAGGAGGAGGCUCUUUUGGUUAAUACCCAAGAUGAGUGGACGUUACUCGCAGAAUAAGCACCGGCUAACUCUGUGCCAGCCGCCGCCGUAA
rnacentral:rRNA from 1 species